GGUGCUGUGGGUCAGAUGCUCUUUGUGACCUUCUGGAAGGGAAGUUUUUAGUGACCUAGAGAAGGAGCAAUAGGAAGGCCAAUAUCUACACUAUGAACAGAAGUAGAAAUGGUGAUGGAUUGUCUGGCAAGAUGCAUUUGGCUUUUCAGGGAAGAACAGGGGUGGCCUCCAAUGACCAAUGAAACCAAGGAAAGAGAAAAAAUUUUCUGCUAGAAAAUGUAUCUGAUCAAAAAAAUAUAAUGCUUAUAUGACA